AUUCAGCUGACGAGUCCUAAAUAGGAUGAAAUACACGUCCUGGAU
rnacentral:hammerhead_ribozyme from 1 species